GCAGUCGAGAAUAAUUCACAAUGGGGGAAACCCUGAUGGUGCAACGCCGCGUGGAGGAUGAAGGUCUUCGGAUUGUAAACUCCUGUCAUCCGGGAGUAAGACCUGGGCGUGAAUAGCGCACAGGGUUGAUAGUACCGGAAGAGGAAGGGACGGCUAACUUCGUGCCAGCAGCCGCGGUAAUACGAAGGUCCCAAGCGUUGUUCGGAAUCACUGGGCGUAAAGGGAGCGUAGGCGGCGUGGUAAGUCAGAUGUGAAAUCCCGGGGCUCAACCCCGGAACUGCAUCCGAUACUGCCAUGCUUGAGGGUUGGAGAGGUAGCUGGAAUUCUCGGUGUAGCAGUGAAAUGCGUGGAUAUCGAGAGGAACACUCGUGGCGAAGGCGAGCUACUGGACAACAUCUGACGCUGAGGCUCGAAGGCCAGGGGAGCAAAAGGGAUUAGAUACCCCUGUAGUCCUGGCAGUAAACGGUGCACGCUUGGUGUGAGGGGAUUCGACCCCCCUUGUGCCUGAGCUAACGCGUUAAGCGUGCCGCCUGGGAAGUACGGUCGCAAGACUAAAACUCAAAGAAAUUGACGGGGACCCGCACAAGCGGUGGAGUAUGUGGCUUAAUUCGAUGCAACGCGAAGAACCUUACCAAGGCUUGACAUGGAUUUCUAAGCACGUGAAAGCGUGUGACCCUUCGGGGGACUUCCACAGGUGCUGCAUGGCCGUCGUCAGCUCGUGUCGUGAGAUGUUGGGUUAAGUCCCGCAACGAGCGCAACCCCUGUGAACUGUUGCCAGCACGUUAUGGUGGGGACUCUGUUCAGACUGCCCAGAUCAACUGGGAGGAAGGUGGGGACGACGUCAGGUCAGUAUGGCCCUUACGCCUUGGGCUGCACACGUACUACAAUGCCCAGUACAAUGAGAACCGAGACCGCGAGGUGGAGGAAAUCUACAAAACUGGGCCCAGUUCGGAUUGGAGGCUGCAACUCGCCUCCAUGAAGCCGGAAUCGCUAG
rnacentral:rRNA from 1 species